rnacentral:SRP_RNA from 1 species
GCCGGGUGUGGUGGCAGGCACCUGUAAUCCCAGCUACUCGGGAGGCUGAGGUGGGAGAAUUGCUUGAACCUAGGAGGCAGAGGUUGCAGUGAGCCGAGACUGCGCCACUGCACUCCAGCCUGGGUGACAGAGCAAGACUCCAUCUCAA